AUACAAAAUUCAAUAUGUGUGCGUAUUAAAAAAAAACUUAUAACUUUUACAACAGAAAACAAAUUUUAAUCUAUUUGUUAUUUACGUUCUGUAACAAGUGUGCAUCGCAUUCAGAGAGUGCAGAUUUGCAUUUUUUACACGUAGAAAAAAUCGUGUAUGGCAGUACAAUUGAGAAUAAUGUUUUAUAAUAUAAGUGAUGUACGUUUCAGCAUGUACAUGUGACAAUAAACGCAGGGUACAAAAUUAUGCAGCUGAGUCUCCUAAGGACAUGAAGAAGGUGGAUGACAUUCAUUUAAAGAUUAAAAAAGAUGGCUGUCAGAGAGAGCAGAGAUUAAACCAUGUAACUCUUCAAAGACUCCAAGUUACUUUGGCCUCAUGAUUUUAAUUACACGCGGAAAUGAGAAACGAAGAAGAAUUGGACAGAGCGGACGGUAUUGUAACUCACUGAGAGAAAGAGAGACGUCCCGCCGAGAAAAAUACCUUUAUUUAUCGCGCUUAAGAGAGAAAGAAUAGUGAAGUAAGUAAACAAGCGGAAAAACAGAAUUAAUAAGUUAUAACAGAAAAGCACAAAGUAUAAGGAAUAGUACAUGUAUAAAAGUAAGAUUUUAUAUUAUUACAUAGUUGCUCUGAUAAUCUUUAUAGCUAAAUUUAAUUAUUGAAAUAUUAUUACACAACAAUUAUAUUAAUUCAAAUAUGCUACAUUUUAUUAUUAUUGUAAUUAACUUAUUAAUUAUCAUACAUUGUAUAGUAUAUCUUUCUCUCAAUAAAUAUGCUAAAAUAAUAUAUAAUAUAUAAUCGUAUAAUAAAAUAAAUUCAUAGAAAUGAAUAAUAGAAUUUUACGGAGAUACUUGAUAACAGACCCCUUUUUUUAAUAUACAUCUAAUAUAUAAUUAAUUUUAUACUUUUAUAUUAAAAUAUUUUAUAAAGAUUACACAAUAAGUUUUAUGUUGCAAUAAAAUAUUAAAUUCUAUAUUUACGAGAUCUAUGAAUUAAUUCACUUUCGGCAAGCAACUCGCAAUACAUUCUAGAACACUAUUUCUCUUGCACGAAGCGUUUAUUCAAAUAAUAGCGAAUUGCCGCGCCAUAAACUCUUGCCGCGGUGCGUUUCGUUACAUUCCGCCGCAUCCCGUCGUUCAUCACCAAGCGUAUGCCUACCUACCUAAAUAUAGGGAAGAAAUUUUCCGUGCACAUACAUGCGAAAUUAACUUCCGGUUGGGUCGAGCCGGAAUUAAUCACCCGCAGCGACAACGAUUGGACUGCUCAUAAUUAAACUUUUCACUAAGAAGACAAACACCGUAUUGGCUCCGAUAUGCUUAAAGAAUCAGUGUUUCAGUAUUAUUGAAUCGACGAAGGAAACGGACACAAGCACCAGAGUGAUACGAAAGGUUCUCAAUAGUCACGAUUGUUCAGCGAGACAAUCUAGCGAUUGAAUGAAUUCGGUCAAAUUAAUUUUCAAACGAUUGAAACAGAUGGCAAAUCUUAUUAAGUGUUAAAUGCAACUGGAAAAACGCGCGCGAGUGUAUGUGUGUGUGUAUGUGUGUGUAUGUGUGUACACAUAAUACAUAUAUGUUUUAAGAAAAACAACGAUGAAGAAACAAAAAAAGAAGAAAGACGUACAUACUUUCCCGCGCGAUGUGAACUCGUCAAAGUGCCAAAUCCCCGCGGAUAGAGAGAGAGAGAGAGAGAGAGACCAAAGUCCCGUAUACGCUGCGAAUGUAGUCGAUCAAUGGGAACAACGCGUCGCGUUCGUCGACGACGUGAUCGAGUCCUUCUUGGCUCCGUUUCCCUACCUUCAUGUCCUCUCGAAAUCGGCUGUCUCCUUGCGACGAUGGUGGAAGGCAACCUCUCUCUCUUGAUUUGCAUAUCCGUAGACUACCUACGAUUCUAUACCUACAACUCCUAUAUCGAUACAUCUCGAUUCCGCGACGAUGUCGCCGCUGAUGUAUCUAUUUAAAUUCAUUGUUCACAAAUUGACACAUUUUUUAAUUUCAUAAAUUUUAUAAAUAAAUAUGAUCUUUAUCUUAGAGAAAUCAAUAAUGAUAAUCGAGAUUGAUACAUUUAUACUUCGAAAUUCAAUUCGAACCAAUAAUUUCAAACUAUCCGAUUUCGUAGAAUUUAAUGUAAUAUAAUCUUGUUAUAAAUAUACGAACAUAAAAGUAUGGCUUCUCACGUAUUAAUUAGCUUAAUCAUUUCUAUAAAUUCUUCAAUUAAUUAAAUUAAUUGUUCUCAUAUAAACCAGACAUCAAACAUUGCAAAAUCUCGGAUUUUUGAUUGGUCAGUGAUCAAUCAUGAAUGUGCUCGUUAUACUUCAUCUGUCCUCCGAUUGAAUGAUGUUUGCUGCGUCGACCAAAACAUUAACAAAGCGCACGUUUCUUUCAGGCGAUUCCAAAGAAGUAUCAGACAGAAGUGAAACUUCAGUAGUUUUCAAAUCGUGCUUCUCACUGCUGAUAUUGAACCGACGAAGAAAUGUGUCCUGAGAGAAACGUGUUCUAAUGUGCUGCGUAUCAUGACAUACACCGUUCCAUUAGAUUCAAGCCAUACUAUUUAACAAUCAAUCACGAAACACUUAAACAUAAUGCUGUGUGCAUGCAGAGCAGCUGUAUUCAUUUCUUUAAGUUAAUAGCGCGCUAUGUUUCCAUUCACGCUGUAACUAUUACAUUCCUUUCCGCAAUGUUUCUCGGUAUCUUUACUUCCUUCUCACUUCCGAUAUCGUAACAUGUUUUCCUUCAUUCGAGUCUUUUCCCUAUCUGAGAAAGCAACUUCGUUAGUUCGUCUAAAACGAGUGAAGGACACUGUCUACGUGAAACGUAAUUUCCCAAGAAAAUGGGGGAGAAAAGUGCCGAAAGUGAGAUGAAAGAUGCGGAGAAUUUCCAGACUGUAGCAUUUACGUAUCUUACUUAUGUAUCUCGUCUUCGACAAUACGGUUUAGGAAUUUAAGUGCACUCCGCACUAAAACUCGCCACUCAUGAAUGCCGGUCGGUGCAACUAAGGGGAAUGCAAAUUGUUAUGUAAAACACAAUUUUCAGAGAACCCUCGUUCACAUUGCGUUUUACAUUAACUUAAAAGAGUGGUCUUGGAAAACUUUUGCUACAGGUAGAAAGACUAACGAAUUACCGGCAUGUUCAGCAUAAUAUUAUAUGCUCCUGUGCUGCUUUUACAUAUUUAAAAAUAGAAAAGAAGAUAAAAAAAUUAAACAGCCAAUAUUUGGAGAAUGGCUAAGUAUGACUAAUAAAUAUCACAUACCAUGUAAAUAAUAAUUUGCGCUAAUCUUGUACCUUUUUAUUUGAAUUAACUGUAUAUUACAUUGUAUGAAGAAAUGUCAUAUACAUAUCAAUACAUAUAGUUUAAAUUUGUUCAUUAUUAAAUGACUUUUAUUUUUCUUGUUCUAAAAUCGAUAACAAUUUAAUAUUAUAAUUUAUAAUUGGGCAUUAAUAAGAUAUUUGUAUAUAUUAUUUUAUAAAUUUGUUUUGUCCAUCAGUAUCAUGUUUAUUAAUCUCUGUAAGAUCAAUCUUGAAUAAUAAAAUCUAUUGAAUGCCAGACAAUCUAUAAUCGGAUAUCAUUAAUGCGUAUAAUAAUUGAUGUCAUGAAAUGAAUAAUUUAUAUUAUGGAAUGCAAGUUAUAUUUGUUUUAUUAUAUGAUACAUAUAUAUUAUAAUUAACAAGGAAAUUAAUACAGCAAAAGAUAAUAUCUAUUCAAAUCUAAUAUAAAUAGAAAAUAAUAGAUGAUUAAAAGAUUAAUUUUAAAAUAUAUGUGAAAUCUAAACAAAAAGAAUAUGAAAUAAUUUUCUUAAUAUAUAAGCUUAAUAAAAUAUACAAUUAAUAGAAAGAAGAUAUGCAAAUACCUCACGUUUAGUCAUAAAUUCACAUAUAAGAGACAAAGGUGUGAAUUAAAUUAAAAACACACAUAAAUUAGAAGUGUCUAUUGUACUGUAUAUCUUUGUUAAAUCUAUAAAUCUUUGUUACAAUAUGAAAAUCUUUAAUAUCGGAAUUUUGAAGAGUAAUUACACAUCGGUGUUGAAUCGUAAUUACAAUUUUAAUUGGAUUUUAACUAGUCACGAGAGACAAGAUGCUUUCAAAGAGAAGAAAGAUGACAUAAAUUCACUGUGCCACGCAGAUAUAUAAAAUAUAAUGGACUUUAAAUACGAUGAGAUGCACUCUGUGAUAUCGGAAACAAUAGAACUUUGGAAAGCUACGUGACAGUCCUUAUAUUUAUACUAUUUAUAUAUUAUUUCGAAUUAUGCGAUAGAUAGUAUGAUGGAAUAAGAAACAGCAUAUAUGAUUUCAAAUCCGAUCAAUAUACCUCUUACUUCUUUGAUAAAUUACUAUUACGAAGACGAUAUUUCAUAUACGUUAAAUUUAAAAGGACAUGGGAAUAUAAAUAUAAAAAUUGCACAGAUGUUGAAAUCAUCACACAAAUUGUCCCUGUCACUUUUCCUUUCUCUAAAUUCUUUCUCUUUUUGCUCUCGUAAAUAUCGUAUUUUAAUAUACAUUAUACACACAUUACUUCUUACUAUCGCAUUAUACUUUCGCAUUCAAUUAACUUACACAGAUUUAAGAAAACACGUGGCCAUGUAGCAACCACGCGAAUCUGGUGUCUCGGAAAAGUUGUCGAGAGAAAUAACAAUGCAAACCCGCGGCAGUAGAUGCACAUAGCAAGUGGCCGUACCGUUUUCCACAAGAGGAAAGCUCACUCUCUUUCUCUCUUUCUCUCUUGACUCAGACGGCUCAGAGGGCUCACCGGACCAUUGUAAGAGCAACGAACCGACCAAACCGGGAGUAAAGACGCCAGGCGCCUACUUGCUACUGCGAUCCCACCAAUCAUUUGUGCAUUCAAGCAGCUACCCGGAAACCCAGUGGUUCCCCGUCGGUCCGCACGACCGAUCUAAUUCACCCGGCGGAGCAAUCGAGCGAUAUUAUUAUUUCGGUGCCAUCGCCGGAACAUCGGGUCGACGCUUCGAGGAAUGUAAUCAUUGGCCUGGGUGCUUUCUGCUUGAGACGAGAAUGCGUGCCGUCGGCAAACAGAAAGCUUCGCCGAGUUGGCAUUUUAGUCUUGCACGAGCGUCGCCUUGGCUUAGGUUUUAAAGGGGCGAACCAGAGGUGUCGAGAAUCACGGUGGUCGCCGCCGCGGUAAGCUGCGUCCACCGAGAAAGAGAAGAGCCACCGCGGGUGAAGGAGGAGGAGGGAGAGGAGCAGAAGAGAGACUGGAGAACAGCAGCUGUGAGAGCUUGCAGGAAAGCGGGGGAGGGAAGGAGAGGAGAGAGAGAGAGAGAGCAGCCUCAAAACGUGUCCCUUUCGGCUUCCGCUCGGAUAGAGUCUCGGAACUCGGCAAGUAAGGUAGGUGGCCGAAGUAACUUAUCGCCUAAUAAAUUCCAGCCAUUAGACUGCGGGUAGUAAUGGAUGUACCAUUUGCACCCUCCAGUACGCCUCGCGGUAGAGUAGAUGGGUAGGUAACGACGCGCGCGGGAGGAAAAGCGGACCCGCUGCCACUGCCGCGCGCGCGAGCUGUGUCGCUUCGUGGCUGCCGGCUAGACGAAUCCGUAAUAUCGAUUUAAAGUUCGGCGCUACUCGAGCACGAUGAGAACGGGGUCUGGCCGAGGACUCGAUUAGGGAUCGCGCUUACUUAAUCCCGGCGUCAUCCGGAAUCGGACCGAAGAGAUGACGGCGGAGUGUGCAUGCUCAUUCGCGCGAUAAGAGCGGCGACUUGGGGAAAUUUCCGGAAAUUGUGGGGGACAACGAUGAGAGUCGAUCGUUUCCUAUCUCUCAUUCCGCCAGAAACCUGGUCCGCGAUGAGUAAGUGACCGACGAGUCGAUUAAGAACGCUAUCAUCAAAUGUGACACGCAGUAGGCAACGGUAAGCACGGGAGAUCGAUUGCUUACUCGACACUAAUAAAAAAUAUCGUCUUGAUCUUACCAAGUUUAGAGGACACUCAUCGAUGUCGUCAUAGGUCCCGAUCGUAACUAUGAAAGGCUCUUGAAAAAGUUACGCCACGAACGACCUUCGUAAAAGUAUGAUAUAGAUGAAAAAACUUCUCAGCUAAUGAUGCGAUCUUCUUCGAAUCCGGGUUGGGUUAAGAAGUGGAAAGUAGACGAGUAUAGUCAGCCACGAACUUCGCGGAUGAUUUAGUUUAGGAUUUGUGAACUUCCCAAUGGAUGCCGGUGGUUGUUAAUUGCUAUGUUUAAUAAACUGUGUACUGAAUACACUUUGAACUUCCAAACAUAUUAAUCUGAAAUUAAUUUGUAGAUUUAAAUUCAGUUUGACUUGCUGAUGCUGUUUAAACCAUCAAAUAAAGCGUAACACGUUUAUCCGUUUUAUUUUAUCUUAUAGCUUUAUGCUUUCUUCUUUUUUGAGAAAAAUUAUUGGAAGCAAGCAUUUUAUUUUAUUAGUACAUAUCAUGUACAAUUAGGAAUUAUUAAAUUAUGAGAAAUCUUUUUUUUCUUUCUUUUUCCUGAAAAAUAUCGAGCUACGCACUGUGAGACAUUUUGCAAUUUCAUCCGUCUUUCAAAUAAUAUAAUCAUACAAAUCAGUCCAUUAAAAUAGUAUCAUUAAAAUAAUGUAAAUGGCGCAGCUUACAGGACAGUUUGAGCAAACCGUAUAAUAACGAUACUACGCAAUUAGCUUAAUUAAAGUAAGGUUCUUUUGAAGGAACGGUCCUCUUGAUAGGAUAUUAUCAACGGGAACAAUAGAAAUAUAGUAAUGAGCGUAACACUUUGACAAGAGCCGCGCAAUUUUGUGUAAAUGAGCGUUUAAUAAUUGGCGUGUAAUCGCAAAUGCUGUUAAACGCGUGUUAGUAAAUCCAGACGAUCACAAACGACGACGUCUUUCCUCGCCUAACACCCGCGGAUACGUUUGAGGUAACCUAACGGAAUAGCGCCGGACAAUGGGCCAUUGAAACAGUAAAAGAGUGAAAAGAAAAAAA